UAGAGUUUGAUCAUGGCUCAGAUUGAACGCUGGCGGCAGGCCUAACACAUGCAAGUCGAGCGGUAACAUAAACUAGCUUGCUAGUUUGAUGACGAGCGGCGGACGGGUGAGUAAUGCUUAGGAACUUGCCUCUUGGAGGGGGACAACAGUUGGAAACGACUGCUAAUACCGCAUGAUGUCGCAAGACCAAAGGGGGCUUCGGCUCCUGCCAAGAGAGAGGCCUAAGUGAGAUUAGCUAGUUGGUGGGGUAAAGGCUCACCAAGGCGACGAUCUCUAGCUGUUCUGAGAGGAAGAUCAGCCACACUGGGACUGAGACACGGCCCAGACUCCUACGGGAGGCAGCAGGGGGGAAUAUUGGACAAUGGGCGCAAGCCUGAUCCAGCCAUGCCGCGUGUGUGAAGAAGGCCUUCGGGUUGUAAAGCACUUUCAGUGGUGAGGAAAGGUUGAUGGUUAAUACCCAUCAGCUGUGACGUUAGCCACAGAAGAAGCACCGGCUAACUCCGUGCCAGCAGCCGCGGUAAUACGGAGGGUGCGAGCGUUAAUCGGAAUUACUGGGCGUAAAGCGCACGCAGGCGGAUUGUUAAGCUAGAUGUGAAAGCCCCGGGCUCAACCUGGGAAUUGCAUUUAGAACUGGCAGUCUAGAGUCUUGGAGAGGGGAGUGGAAUUCCAGGUGUAGCGGUGAAAUGCGUAGAGAUCUGGAGGAACAUCAGUGGCGAAGGCGGCUCCCUGGCCAAAGACUGACGCUCAUGUGC
rnacentral:rRNA from 1 species